AAAGACUUACAUCUCUUCGGAGCAUUUUACGAGGUGCUGCAUGGUUGUCGUCAGCUCGUGCCGUGAGGUGUCGGGUUAAGUCCCAUAACGAGCGCAACCCCUACCUUACGUUGCCAUCAGGUUAAGCUGGGGACUCUAAAGGAACUGCCUACGCAAGUAGUGAGGAAGCGGGGAUGACGUCAAAUCAGCACGGCCCUUACGUCCAGGGCUACACACGUGCUACAAUGGCCGAUACAGAGGGCAGCUACCUGGUGACAGGAUGCAAAUCUCCAAAGUCGGUCUCAGUUCGGAUCGGAGUCUGCAACCCGACUCCGUGAAGUUGGAUUCGCUAGUAAUCGCGCAUCAGCCAUGGCGCGGUGAAUACGUUCCCGGGCCUU
rnacentral:rRNA from 1 species